ACGCCGGUUUGGAUCAUUUCCCCGCGUGCGACGUCCUGUGCCCAGGUCU
rnacentral:sRNA from 1 species